rnacentral:rRNA from 1 species
CGCAGCCGCGGUAAUUCCAGCUCCAAUAGCGUAUAUUAAAGUUGUUGCAGUUAAAAAAGCUCGUAGUUGAAUUUCGGGGGUCUGUCCGUCGGUCGGGCUUCACGGUCCGUACCGGUGUGAUGGGUUCCUACCUUCUGAAUAACCGGCAUGCUAUUCAGUUGGUGCGCCGGGGAAGCAGAGCUAUUACCUUGAAAAAAUUAGAGUGCUUAAAGCAGGCUAGUGCUUGAAUAGGUUAGCAUGGAAUAAUAAAUAGGACGGCAUGGUUCUAUUUUGUUGGUUUCUAGGAUCACCGUAAUGAUUAAUAGGGAUAGUUGGGGGCAUUAGUAUUCAAUUGUCAGAGGUGAAAUUCUUGGAUUUAUUGAAGACUAACUUCUGCGAAAGCAUUUGCCAAG